GUGCUCGCUUUGGCAGCACAUAUACUAAAAUUGGAACCAUGCAGAGAUUAGCAUGGCCUCUGAGCAAGGAUGACACGCAAAUUCAUGAAGCAUUCCAUAUUUUU